rnacentral:rRNA from 1 species
UAAUACAGAGGGUGCGAGCGUUAAUCGGAAUUACUGGGCGUAAAGGGUGCGUAGGUGGUUAUGUAAGUUAGAUGUGAAAUUCCUGGGCUUAACCUGGGGACUGCGUCUGAUACUGCAAAGCUAGAGUACUGUAGAGGAAAGUGGAAUUUCCGGUGUAGCAGUGAAAUGCGUAGAUAUCGGAAGGAACAUCAGUGGCGAAGGCGACUUUCUGGACAGAUACUGACACUGAGGCACGAAAGCGUGGGGAGCAAACAGG